CGAUUCCCUUAGUAGUGGCGAACGAAAAGGGAACAGCCCAGCGCAUAAUCUCCCGGGUUACCAAGCCUGCGGCGAAAUGUUGCGUUAAAGGAAAGGUCGUUCGUGUCUCGCCCACCCGUUUGAUUGUGCCUAACAGCGUCUUGAAUUAUUCGCGCUCGUUGAGUACUUUACGUCUUUCGGGUCUGUAAACGCUCAACACACGGUUCCAUGGAGGGUGCAAGUCCCGUAUGGCCGCGGUUGAGUGGGCGAAGGCUAGACCUCUUUUCCUGGAGAGUCGCGUUGCUUGAACAUGCAGCGCUAAGCAGCAGGUAAACUCCUGCUAAGGCUAAAUAUGUCCACAGAACCGAUAGCUAACAAGUACCGCGAGGGAAAGUUGAAAAGUACUCUGGAGAGAGGGUGCAAAGACCGUGAAACCAUCCAGGGCAAAAGCCAAUGUCGAGUAUCCUAGUUGCGCUGGGACCGUCCUUCGGGAUGUUGGUAACUCUGUUUGUCGAUGUUCCAUUGAGAACGUUGCAUUCGUCAGUUAGUUGCCUUGAGUGUCCAUUAACAGCCCGUCGCAACUCUUGCGAGGUCUCACGCGGUUGCCGAGUGUUGGCACAUCUCGUUGUUCAAUUAAAGGCUGGUCGUUGUUGGGAGUCGUGUCUUGGUAGAUCCAUCCUAGUAGCCACGCGCGAGAGUGUGUGUGCGAAGAGAUGCUGCCGAACGCGUCGGUACAAGUAAACUCCUAUAGCGGCUAGCUGGAACUUCGAUAACCAACGCAUACUGGUAGCCAAUGCGUGAAUGAUCCUCCGCGAGAAGUUGGUUCAGACAAGUCCUAAUCCUUGUGCAUGCAAGGGUGAAGGCAACGACGGUGACAUGCCUAGGUGACAUUGGUCACGUCUCGAAACACGGGCCAAGGAGCAUAGCGUAAAGGCGAGUCUUAGGGUUUCACUAAACCCCGUGGCGAGUGAAAGCGAGUGACGUACUCUUUGUUGAGUGCGUUAGACGGCGUUUCGUUGAGGGUUCCAUCCUUGCGGUGAGCUCGAGGCGUUGCGUUGCUUUGUCACAGCUGAUCCUUACGUUCCCUGAACAACAAGGCGCAAGCUGCAAGCUUACUCAUAGUUCAGUGCUCGUCGUUUCGGCGUCGUUGUAUCUGGCAGAGGAAGCAUUGUCUAGACUUUCCGCUAUGACCCGAAAGAUAGUGAACUAUGCUUGACGAAGACGAAGCCCCAGGAAACUGUGGUGGAAGUCUGUAGCCGUUGUGACGUGCAAAUCCAUGGCGUCAGUUGAGUAUAGGGGCGAAAGACCAAUCGAACUAUCUAGUAGCUGGUUCCAUUCGAAGUUUCUCUCAGGAUAGCUUGAGCGACAUGACAACGCUAACGAGUCUGAACGUACGAGGUACUUAUACUAUCUCGCUCGUUCGCCCGUGUCUGCAGUUGUUGAGAGCAAACUAUGCCGUUAGCUCGUAAGCUCACUCUUUGUCGGACAAAUAUGGGUAGCGUAUCACAUACGUUUCCUUGGCAGUUACGUCUGGUAAAGAGAAUGAGUAGAGUUGGCUCGUUGUUCUCAUGUAACAACAGCAGCGGGGCGUUCUACGCCUCGCACUAUUAUCAAACUUUAAAUGGGCGAGGAACUAGGCAUUAUCUUAAUUGCUUGAUGCCUGGGCGUAGUCGGUUGAGCGACAAGGUUUUAAUGUACCGAGUCUGUCUCAGAUGAGAAUGCGUGCGCUUUAAGUGGGUCCUUUCUGGUAAGCAGAACUGAUAAUGAGGGAUGAACCUAACGCACAUGCUAAGGGGUCAAAAAGACAGCUAUUUCUCGAAACCAUUGGAAAGGUGUUGCUUGCUAAAGACAGCAGGACGGUGGUCAUGGAAGUUGACAUCCGCUAAGGAGUGUGUAACAACUCAUCCUGCCGAAGCGAGUAACCCUGAAAAUGGAUGACUCUAUAGCUCUCUCCCGAUGCAUGGCCGUCAAAGCACGAGUGACAUUUCUUGUCUCAAGGCAUUGACGUGUAGAAUGGUGUGCUGGUGCGCGUCGAACACAUUUGCGUGAGCAUUGUGGGAGCCGCCAGUAGUACAGAUCUUGGUGGUAGUAGCAAGUACUCUGGUGAAUAACCUUGAGCUGUGAGGCUGAUAAGGGUUCCGCGUCAACAGCGUUUGUACGCGGGUAAGCCGAUCCUAAGCUCCCUUUAUCUCGAUAAAGGUAAUUGCGAAUGCACGGAACUAUGACACACAAUUCUCUUUGACGAGAAAAAGACCUAUAAGUGGUGUGUGUGUGUGCGCUGAGUUUUUGUUACAAGUCCGUUUCGAACGUGGUACGCUUGGCUAAAAUCUUGCGUGUGCCAUUAGUAGAAACUAACAAAUCUAUCUCUGUCUCACACACAAGAAGUACCUGUGGUUUUGUCUCGGAGUGUUUGUCGUCAUACUCUGUCGUCGCUUGGCGAAAGGGAAAUAUGAACUCAKUUCAUAUGCCUCUCCUGGCCCCCUGAGUCGGUUCACCGUAUCACRAUCCUAGCAAUAGAUGCCAGGCCAGUCGUUGUCAUAAGUAGCUCGGCAGGGAGAUUUCUUCUCUCUUUGAUAAGGUUUACUACCCUGAAAACACCUCGCGUGGCGGAAGGGUGAUUCCUUGACUUACCAGAGUAGUCCUCUCCCUAGACUAGUUCGACGCUACUUGUGACCCGUGAAAAGGUGGUCGAGGGGAUUGAAAUGUACACACUGGCUCAUCCAUACAGCCGUAUGGUGGCUAGAAGUACUUUCGCACUUAACACGAGUGUUUGCCACGGAGUGUUCGUACCCAUUUCCGCAUCCGUCUCAAAGGUUUGCACCCUCUGUAGCG
rnacentral:rRNA from 1 species